GCAAGGUUAACCGAAUAGGGGAGCCGAAGGGAAACCGAGUCUUAACUGGGCGUUAAGUUGCAGGGUAUAGACCCGAAACCCGGUGAUCUAGCCAUGGGCAGGUUGAAGGUUGGGUAACACUAACUGGAGGACCGAACCGACUAAUGUUGAAAAAUUAGCGGAUGACUUGUGGCUGGGGGUGAAAGGCCAAUCAAACCGGGAGAUAGCUGGUUCUCCCCGAAAGCUAUUUAGGUAGCGCCUCGUGAAUUCAUCUCCGGGGGUAGAGCACUGUUUCGGCAAGGGGGUCAUCCCGACUUACCAACCCGAUGCAAACUGCGAAUACCGGAGAAUGUUAUCACGGGAGACACACGGCGGGUGCUAACGUCCGUCGUGAAGAGGGAAACAACCCAGACCGCCAGCUAAGGUCCCAAAGUCAUGGUUAAGUGGGAAACGAUGUGGGAAGGCCCAGACAGCCAGGAUGUUGGCUUAGAAGCAGCCAUCAUUUAAAGAAAGCGUAAUAGCUCACUGGUCGAGUCGGCCUGCGCGGAAGAUGUAACGGGGCUAAACCAUGCACCGAAGCUGCGGCAGCGACGCUUAUGCGUUGUUGGGUAGGGGAGCGUUCUGUAAGCCUGUGAAGGUGUGCUGUGAGGCAUGCUGGAGGUAUCAGAAGUGCGAAUGCUGACAUAAGUAACGAUAAAGCGGGUGAAAAGCCCGCUCGCCGGAAGACCAAGGGUUCCUGUCCAACGUUAAUCGGGGCAGGGUGAGUCGACCCCUAAGGCGAGGCCGAAAGGCGUAGUCGAUGGGAAACAGGUUAAUAUUCCUGUACUUGGUGUUACUGCGAAGGGGGGACGGAGAAGGCUAUGUUGGCCGGGCGACGGUUGUCCCGGUUUAAGCGUGUAGGCUGGUUUUCCAGGCAAAUCCGGAAAAUCAAGGCUGAGGCGUGAUGACGAGGCACUACGGUGCUGAAGCAACAAAUGCCCUGCUUCCAGGAAAAGCCUCUAAGCAUCAGGUAACAUCAAAUCGUACCCCAAACCGACACAGGUGGUCAGGUAGAGAAUACCAAGGCGCUUGAGAGAACUCGGGUGAAGGAACUAGGCAAAAUGGUGCCGUAACUUCGGGAGAAGGCA
rnacentral:rRNA from 1 species